UCUGCUAAAGUUCCGGACCAUUCGCCAGUAACAGUAAUGUAGGGAGAGGAAGCAAUGGAAUCACCAAUGGAGCAAACAUCUGAAAGAUGAUCAUCGAGAGUCUUUGAGCACUCAUCCGACUCGUAAAGUUGAUAACGAUGGACAUCCAUAACAAGAUUGUAUGAAGAAGGAGAUACAACACCAUAAUCCCAAAUAGAAAGAUCAACAUAGGCAUCGUGAAUGAUAGUAGCAACAGAGCUGGAAAGAGGAUUGACGAUAUUAUAGGCAUCUAAAUCG